rnacentral:snRNA from 1 species
GGAUGUAAGGGCGAUCUGGCUGAGACAUCUGUCACGCCACUGAUCACCAGGGUUGAUGUGGCUGAUCUGGCUGGCUGGGGGCAUGUCCCCUUUCUCCCUCACCACUCCAGGUGUGUCUGUCCCAAAGCUGCGUGCUCCGUCAAAGAGGAUGACCACCCCCGAUAGAGGAGGGCCGGUCUUUGGUCAAGCAUAUGCAAGUAGCAGCGCUCACCUGCUAGAACCUCCAAACAAGCUCUCAAGAAGAGGCCGGGGGACUAGUUCCCUCUCUUUCUGCCAUGUGAGGACACAAUAAGAGGUCAGGAGUUUGCAACCCAGAAGAAGGUCAUCAUCAGAACCUGGGCAUGCCAGUGCCCUGAUCUCGGAUUUC